AGUGAACGCUGGCGGUAGGCCUAACACAUGCAAGUCGAACGGCAGCACAGUAAGAGUUUGCUCUUACGGGUGGCGAGUGGCGGACGGGUGAGGAAUACAUCGGCAUCUACUUUUUCGUGGGGGAUAACGUAGGGAAACUUACGCUAAUACCGCAUACGACCUACGGGUGAAAGCAGGGGAUCUUCGCACCUUGCGCGAUUGAAUGAGCCGAUGUCGGAUUAGCUAGUUGGCGGGGUAAAGGCCCACCAAGGCGACGAUCCGUAGCUGGUCUGAGAGGAUGAUCGGCCACACUGGAACUGAGACACGGUCCAGACUCCUACGGGAGGCAGCAGUGGGGAAUAUUGGGCAAAGGGCGCAAGCCUGAUCCAGCCAUACCGCGUGGGUGAAGAAGGCCUUCGGGUUGUAAAGCCCUUUUGUUGGGAAAGAAAAGCUGCAGGUUAAUACGCCGCUGUUCUGACGGUACCCAAUGAAUAAGCACCGGCUAACUACGUG
rnacentral:rRNA from 1 species